UUGGUGAAGUGGAUGAUCCUAUGCUGCCGAGAAAAGCCUCUAGUGAGUGUUGUGGCGGCCCGUACCCUAAACCGACUCAGGUGGUCAGGUAGAGAAUACCAAGGCGAUCGGGUGAACUGUGGUUAAGGAACUCGGCAAAUUGCCCCCGUAACUUCGGGAGAAGGGGGACCUCUGCUGGUGAUGGGCUUUACGUUCUGAGCUGGUGGGGGUCGCAGUGGCCAGGGGGAAGCGACUGUUUACUAAAAACACAGGUCCGUGCGAAGUCGUAAGACGAUGUAUACGGACUGACGCCUGCCCGGUGCCGGAACGUUAAGGGGACCGCUUAGCCAACGCGAGUUGGCGAAGGUGAGAACUUAAGCGCCGGUAAACGGCGGUGGUAACUAUAACCAUCCUAAGGUAGCGAAAUUCCUUGUCGGGUAAGUUCCGACCUGCACGAAUGGCGUAACGACUUCCCCGCUGUCUCAACCACAGACCCGGCGAAAUUGCACUACGAGUAAAGAUGCUCGUUUCGCGCAGCAGGACGGAAAGACCCCGGGACCUUCACUACAGCUUGACAUUGGCGUUUGGAACGUCUUGUGUAGGAUAGGUGGGAGACUGGGAAGCUGUCACGCUAGUGAUGGUGGAGUCAUUGGUGAAAUACCACUCUGGUCGUUUUGAACGUCUAACUCUGGUCCGUGAUCCGGAUCGGGGACAGUGUCUGGUGGGUAGUUUAACUGGGGCGGUUGCCUCCUAAAGAGUAACGGAGGCGCCCAAAGGUUCCCUCAGCCUGGUUGGCAAUCAGGUGUUGAGUGUAAGUGCACAAGGGAGCUUGACUGUGAGACUGACAGGUCGAGCAGGAGCGAAAGCUGGGACUAGUGAUCCGGCAUCGGCGUGUGGAAGCGGUGUCGCUCAACGGCUAAAAGGUACCCCGGGGAUAACAGGCUGAUCUUCCCCAAGAGUCCAUAUCGACGGGAUGGUUUGGCACCUCGAUGUCGGCUCGUCGCAUCCUGGGGCUGGAGUAGGUCCCAAGGGUUGGGCUGUUCGCCCAUUAAAGCGGUACGCGAGCUGGGUUUAGAACGUCGCGAGACAGUUCGGUCCCUAUCCGCUGCGCGCGCAGGAGACUUGAAGGGGGCUGUCCCUAGUACGAGAGGACCGGGACGGACGAACCUCUGGUGUGCCAGUUGUACCGCCAGGUGCACGGCUGGUUGGCUACGUUCGGAAGGGAUAACCGCUGAAAGCAUCUAAGCGGGAAGCUCGCCUUGAGAUGAGGUCUCCCACCACGAGAGUGGGUAAGGCUCCCGGUAGAUCACCGGGUUGAUAGGCCGGAGGUGGAAGCACGGUAACGUGUGGAGCUGACCGGUACUAAUAGGCCGAGGACUUGAUCAA
rnacentral:rRNA from 1 species